UGAGGAAUAUUGGUCAAUGGACGAGAGUCUGAACCAGCCAAGUAGCGUGCAGGAUGACGGCCCUAUGGGUUGUAAACUGCUUUUGUUUGGGAAUAAUUGACAUUACGUGUAAUGUUUUGCAUGUACCAUUCGAAUAAGGACCGGCUAAUUCCGUGCCAGCAGCCGCGGUAAUACGGAAGGUCCAGGCGUUAUCCGGAUUUAUUGGGUUUAAAGGGAGUGUAGGCGGUUGGUUAAGCGUGUUGUGAAAUGUAGAUGCUCAACAUCUGACUUGCAGCGCGAACUGGCUGACUUGAGUACACACAGCGUAGGCGGAAUUCAUGGUGUAGCGGUGAAAUGCUUAGAUAUCAUGAAGAACGCCGAUUGCGAAGGCAGCUUACGGGAGUGUUACUGACGCUUAAGCUCGAAGGUGCGGGUAUCGAACAGG
rnacentral:rRNA from 1 species